rnacentral:tRNA from 1 species
UGGGGUGUAACGUAACGGUAGCGUCGGAGAUUCUAAACCUCUAUGUGAGUGGGUUCGAUUCCUACCACCCCUACCA